GGGGAACCCCUUCAGCUUAGAUUCUGAGGGUUGCAGAAUUACCAGCAAUCCUCUUCCUGCCACCCAGGGCAGGCCUGUCCGCAGCAGAAGGUCAUGAGGCUGGUCGACCUGUGAAAAUGAGCUGAGCUGAGGUAAGAGAGAUAUACUGAGUUCAGUCCCCAGUUCUAAGUCCCGAGGCUCAGGUUUCUGAAGCUCAUCU
rnacentral:lncRNA from 1 species